GGGUUGUGAGGUUAAGCGACUAAGCGUACACGGUGGAUGCCCUGGCAGUCAGAGGCGAUGAAGGACGUGCUAAUCUGCGAUAAGCGUCGGUAAGGUGAUAUGAACCGUUAUAACCGGCGAUUUCCGAAUGGGGAAACCCAGUGUGAUUCGUCACACUAUCAUUAACUGAAUCCAUAGGUUAAUGAGGCGAACCGGGGGAACUGAAACAUCUAAGUACCCCGAGGAAAAGAAAUCAACCGAGAUUCCCCCAGUAGCGGCGAGCGAACGGGGAGCAGCCCAGAGCCUGAAUCAGUGUGUGUGUUAGUGGAAGCGUCUGGAAAGGCGCGCGAUACAGGGUGACAGCCCCGUACACAAAAAUGCACAUGCUGUGAGCUCGAUGAGUAGGGCGGGACACGUGGUAUCCUGUCUGAAUAUGGGGGGACCAUCCUCCAAGGCUAAAUACUCCUGACUGACCGAUAGUGAACCAGUACCGUGAGGGAAAGGCGAAAAGAACCCCGGCGAGGGGAGUGAAAAAGAACCUGAAACCGUGUACGUACAAGCAGUGGGAGCACAGAGCAAUCUGUGUGACUGCGUACCUUUUGUAUAAUGGGUCAGCGACUUAUAUUCUGUAGCAAGGUUAACCGAAUAGGGGAGCCGAAGGGAAACCGAGUCUUAACUGGGCGUUAAGUUGCAGGGUAUAGACCCGAAACCCGGUGAUCUAGCCAUGGGCAGGUUGAAGGUUGGGUAACACUAACUGGAGGACCGAACCGACUAAUGUUGAAAAAUUAGCGGAUGACUUGUGGCUGGGGGUGAAAGGCCAAUCAAACCGGGAGAUAGCUGGUUCUCCCCGAAAGCUAUUUAGGUAGCGCCUCGUGAAUUCAUCUCCGGGGGUAGAGCACUGUUUCGGCAAGGGGGUCAUCCCGACUUACCAACCCGAUGCAAACUGCGAAUACCGGAGAAUGUUAUCACGGGAGACACACGGCGGGUGCUAACGUCCGUCGUGAAGAGGGAAACAACCCAGACCGCCAGCUAAGGUCCCAAAGUCAUGGUUAAGUGGGAAACGAUGUGGGAAGGCCCAGACAGCCAGGAUGUUGGCUUAGAAGCAGCCAUCAUUUAAAGAAAGCGUAAUAGCUCACUGGUCGAGUCGGCCUGCGCGGAAGAUGUAACGGGGCUAAACCAUGCACCGAAGCUGCGGCAGCGACGCUUAUGCGUUGUUGGGUAGGGGAGCGUUCUGUAAGCCUGUGAAGGUGUACUGUGAGGUAUGCUGGAGGUAUCAGAAGUGCGAAUGCUGACAUAAGUAACGAUAAAGCGGGUGAAAAGCCCGCUCGCCGGAAGACCAAGGGUUCCUGUCCAACGUUAAUCGGGGCAGGGUGAGUCGACCCCUAAGGCGAGGCCGAAAGGCGUAGUCGAUGGGAAACAGGUUAAUAUUCCUGUACUUGGUGUUACUGCGAAGGGGGGACGGAGAAGGCUAUGUUGGCCGGGCGACGGUUGUCCCGGUUUAAGCGUGUAGGCUGGUUUUCCAGGCAAAUCCGGAAAAUCAAGGCUGAGGCGUGAUGACGAGGCACUACGGUGCUGAAGCAACAAAUGCCCUGCUUCCAGGAAAAGCCUCUAAGCAUCAGGUAACAUCAAAUCGUACCCCAAACCGACACAGGUGGUCAGGUAGAGAAUACCAAGGCGCUUGAGAGAACUCGGGUGAAGGAACUAGGCAAAAUGGUGCCGUAACUUCGGGAGAAGGCACGCUGAUAUGUAGGUGAAGUCCCUCGCGGAUGGAGCUGAAAUCAGUCGAAGAUACCAGCUGGCUGCAACUGUUUAUUAAAAACACAGCACUGUGCAAACACGAAAGUGGACGUAUACGGUGUGACGCCUGCCCGGUGCCGGAAGGUUAAUUGAUGGGGUCAGCGCAAGCGAAGCUCUUGAUCGAAGCCCCGGUAAACGGCGGCCGUAACUAUAACGGUCCUAAGGUAGCGAAAUUCCUUGUCGGGUAAGUUCCGACCUGCACGAAUGGCGUAAUGAUGGCCAGGCUGUCUCCACCCGAGACUCAGUGAAAUUGAACUCGCUGUGAAGAUGCAGUGUACCCGCGGCAAGACGGAAAGACCCCGUGAACCUUUACUAUAGCUUGACACUGAACAUUGAGCCUUGAUGUGUAGGAUAGGUGGGAGGCUUGGAAGUGUGGACGCCAGUCUGCAUGGAGCCGACCUUGAAAUACCACCCUUUAAUGUUUGAUGUUCUAACGUUGACCCGUAAUCCGGGUUGCGGACAGUGUCUGGUGGGUAGUUUGACUGGGGCGGUCUCCUCCUAAAGAGUAACGGAGGAGCACGAAGGUUGGCUAAUCCUGGUCGGACAUCAGGAGGUUAGUGCAAUGGCAUAAGCCAGCUUGACUGCGAGCGUGACGGCGCGAGCAGGUGCGAAAGCAGGUCAUAGUGAUCCGGUGGUUCUGAAUGGAAGGGCCAUCGCUCAACGGAUAAAAGGUACUCCGGGGAUAACAGGCUGAUACCGCCCAAGAGUUCAUAUCGACGGCGGUGUUUGGCACCUCGAUGUCGGCUCAUCACAUCCUGGGGCUGAAGUAGGUCCCAAGGGUAUGGCUGUUCGCCAUUUAAAGUGGUACGCGAGCUGGGUUUAGAACGUCGUGAGACAGUUCGGUCCCUAUCUGCCGUGGGCGCUGGAGAACUGAGGGGGGCUGCUCCUAGUACGAGAGGACCGGAGUGGACGCAUCACUGGUGUUCGGGUUGUCAUGCCAAUGGCACUGCCCGGUAGCUAAAUGCGGAAGAGAUAAGUGCUGAAAGCAUCUAAGCACGAAACUUGCCCCGAGAUGAGUUCUCCCUGACUCCUUGAGAGUCCUGAAGGAACGUUGAAGACGACGACGUUGAUAGGCCGGGUGUGUAAGCGCAGCGAUGCGUUGAGCUAACCGGUACUAAUGAACCGUGAGGCUUAACCUUACAACGCCGAAGGUGUUU
rnacentral:rRNA from 1 species